AGUGAACGCUGGCGGUAGGCCUAACACAUGCAAGUCGAACGGCAGCACAGUAAGAGCUUGCUCUUACGGGUGGCGAGUGGCGGACGGGUGAGGAAUACAUCGUAAUCUACUUUUUCGUGGGGGAUAACGUAGGGAAACUUACGCUAAUACCGCAUACGACCUACGGGUGAAAGCAGGGGAUCGUCGGACCUUGCGCGAUUGAAUGAGCCGAUGUCGGAUUAGCUAGUUGGCGGGGUAAAGGCCCACCAAGGCGACGAUCCGUAGCUGGUCUGAGAGGAUGAUCGGCCACACUGGAACUGAGACACGGUCCAGACUCCUACGGGAGGCAGCAGUGGGGAAUAUUGGACAAUGGGCGCAAGCCUGAUCCAGCCAUACCGAGUGGGUGAAGAAGGCCUUCGGGUUGUAAAGCCCUUUUGUUGGGAAAGAAAAGCAGCAGGUUAAUACCCCGCUGUUCUGACGGUACCCAAAGAAUAAGCACCGGCUAACUUCGUG
rnacentral:rRNA from 1 species